GUUUGAUCAUGGCUCAGAUUGAACGCUGGCGGCAGGCCUAACACAUGCAAGUCGAGCGGUAGAGAGAAGCUUGCUUCUCUUGAGAGCGGCGGACGGGUGAGUAAUGCCUAGGAAUCUGCCUGGUAGUGGGGGACAACGUUUCGAAAGGAACGCUAAUACCGCAUACGUCCUACGGGAGAAAGCAGGGGACCUUCGGGCCUUGCGCUAUCAGAUGAGCCUAGGUCGGAUUAGCUAGUUGGUGAGGUAAUGGCUCACCAAGGCGACGAUCCGUAACUGGUCUGAGAGGAUGACCAGCCACACUGGAACUGAGACACGGUCCAGACUCCUACGGGAGGCAGCAGUGGGGAAUAUUGGACAAUGGGCGAAAGCCUGAUCCAGCCAUGCCGCGUGUGUGAAGAAGGCCUUUUGGUUGUAAAGCACUUUAAGCGAGGAGGAGGCUACUUGGAUUAAUACUCUAGGAUAGUGGACGUUACUCGCAGAAUAAGCACCGGCUAACUCUGUGCCAGCAGCCGCGGUAAUACAGAGGGUGCAAGCGUUAAUCGGAAUUACUGGGCGUAAAGCGCGCGUAGGUGGUUUGUUAAGUUGGAUGUGAAAUCCCCGGGCUCAACCUGGGAACUGCAUUCAAAACUGACUGACUAGAGUAUGGUAGAGGGUGGUGGAAUUUCCUGUGUAGCGGUGAAAUGCGUAGAUAU
rnacentral:rRNA from 1 species